rnacentral:rRNA from 1 species
UGGGGAAUUGUUCGCAAUGGGCGCAAGCCUGACGACGCAACGCCGCGUGGAGGAUGAAGGUCUUCGGAUUGUAAACUCCUGUUGAUCGGGAAGAAUGUUUCCAGGGCUAAUAUCCCUGGGAAGUGACGGUACCGGUUGAGGAAGCCCCGGCUAACUCUGUGCCAGCAGCCGCGGUAAUACAGAGGGGGCAAGCGUUGUUCGGAAUUACUGGGCGUAAAGGGCGCGUAGGCGGCCAACUAAGUCAGACGUGAAAUCCCCAGGCUCAACCUGGGAACUGCGUCUGAUACUGGAUGGCUCGAGUUCGGGAGAGGGAAGUGGAAUUCCAGGUGUAGCGGUGAAAUGUGUAGAUAUCUGGAGGAACACCGGUGGCGAAGGCGGCUUCCUGGACCGACACUGACGCUGAGGCGCGAAAGCCAGGGGAGCAAACGG